rnacentral:lncRNA from 1 species
CAUCUGGUCCCCGCCUCAGCCAAUCGGGUGGGGGAGCCCAAGCAGCAAUAUAAAGUAAGGAUUCUCAUCUUCCAGCCACACAGUUACCAAGAAAAGGGACUCGCUUCCUGGAGUGGCUGAAAGUGCUCUGGACGGCGGGCCAGGCCCAUCAUGGCGGACAGCGGGAGAGCCGGGCAAGAGGAAGCACCACGAGUGAGGCAGGGUGGAAGCCUCAAGGAACCGAGGGUUCGGGGUCUCUUCUCCAGCCUGAAGGCUGGGGGGAACCCCAUUCAAUGGAGCAGGAGGAAGAUGGACACAGACUGGCUGGCCACCAGAGCAACUUCAAGACCCUGGCCAAGCUGCACUGCGGAUGGCACGACCCCUUCAGGUGAAAGCAUCCUGAGAGAAAUGGGAAUACAGACUAUGGUUAGACUUGAGUGUCUCUCACCAUCCAACCUAGCAACUAGGAGUAUGGAGAAGAAGGGCACAUUCUGGAGUAAGGAAUAGUGGAUUCCCUGGGGAAUUCCAGCGUCAUCUCCUUGGCCUUUCUUCUCCCCUCUCAUCCUUUCUCUUUCCCUCUUCUGCUCUCCUCCUCUCCCCUGCUCCUCCUCUCCUUUCCUCCUCCCAUUUCCCCUCCCCUCCUCUUUCACUCCUCUCCUCACUUUCCCUCUUCAUCUUUCUUUUCUCCUUCUUCUUUCCAUUUUUCUCUGGUGGUAGGAUAAGAGAAGUGGUGCCUUGGUGCUGUAGGGGGUCGGAACUGGCAGGAUUCCCAAAUUACCUGUUAUCAAGUCGCCAUCUUUGUUAUAGUUCAGCAAAAGGACUUCAGCUGGGGUGAGACAAGGGGUCUGGAGCAUCAGACUCUGUGGAUUAAAAGGUACUGUGGCAGGGCUCAGGCUCUGGGUAGGCAAGACUGAUUGUUUUAGUUGAUUUUCCAACUCCCUUAUGUGGCUAUAUUACAUAACACCAAUGCUUUUGAGAGGAUUAGGAGACAGCAAAGUAGCAUUUAGUUCCUGGUUCUGCUACUUAUAUGACCUUUGACAAGUCACCUCUCUAAAGCUCAGUUUCCUCAUCUGUAAAAUUGGGCCAGGUAAUUGAGUUCCCUUCCAUCUCCCACCUUUCCAAAGACUCUGCCUUUGCAAUUUGAUGGGCUACUCGACAAGAAGACUGAUGCAGGGAUUGUGCAGGCUUGAUAGCAACCAUUGAGCAUGUGGACUCCAAGGCAUGAGUAUAGAACCUGACAUGCUCACCGUUUUUCAAUUGUAGGAUUAAUGGUCCACAGGAGAUCUCUAGACAGCCUUACCCUGAGAGUCUAGCAUAUGGAAAAGGAAGCAGACAUUCUGUUCUGUCCUGUCAGUCAGUCAACAAAUAUUUAUUAAAUACUUAUGUGAGAGGAAGCUAGAUGGUUCAAUGGAUAGAGAUAGGAGAUAGGAGGACCUGGGUUCAAAUCUGGAACUUCCUGGCUAUGUGACCCUGAGCAAGUCAUUUAAUACCAAUUGCCUAACCCUUA